UCCGUAGGGUGCGAGCGUUGUCCGGAAUUAUUGGGCGUAAAGGGCUCGUAGGCGGUCUGUCGCGUCGGGAGUGAAAACUCGGGGCUUAACUCCGAGCCUGCUUCUGAUACGGGCAGACUAGAGGUAUGCAGGGGAGAAUGGAAUUCCUGGUGUAGCGGUGAAAUGCGCAGAUAUCAGGAGGAACACCGGUGGCGAAGGCGGUUCUCUGGGCAUGACCUGACGCUGAGGAGCGAAAGUGUGGGGAGCGAACAGG
rnacentral:rRNA from 1 species